rnacentral:lncRNA from 1 species
GGGUCACUCAAAUAUUUUAUCAUAAAAAUGACUAAUAUGCCACACAGUCCCUAUUGAAACCAACAUCACUAAUCUUUACCAUAUUAGUAGAGAGGCAAGAACAUCUUUAAAAAAGAAACUACACAUCAACAUGUCUUCUAAUUCAUCACUAACCUUUACCAUAUUUCAGUCAUUAUAAUGGGUCACCUGCAUCCAGGGUAAAUGAUUCCAAAAAAAUGUGGAAUCAAGGAUAUUAUUGAGAUAUUCAUCGACUUAAAGGUGAUGAUGGUGUCACUCUCACAUUUAAUUUAAUUGCUGAAUGUACUUUGUGUCUUACCUAAAAAUAGCAACCUGAAAAAAUGAAAACUUCAUCAAAAGUGGAAAUGAAAAAGGGAAUGAUUUAAUUUACCUUAGAUUACAAUUUGAAUGAUAAUGUGAUGAUGAUGAAAACUCGGAUCCAUGUCAGGAAGAGUGUCUGAAUUGCAUUGUCAUGUAGAACUAUAACCAUUUGUAGAAAAGUAUUCCUUUAACAUUAACGGAGAAAUGAAGCAAACCAGAGUGACCUAAAUUUGGAAUUAAGGAAACUAGAGAUGAAGCAAACCAGAG